GUUUUUGUUUGUUUUAUUUGUAUAUAAAGAUCAGGUCAUGUUUCCAUCUUGGGUAAUAUUUAUAGUAUGGUUUACAGCAAGUCAUUUGUGAUUGACUACAGAUGCUCCUGUCUAAGGAUUUGGGUCAAGUACAUUUAAACUGGGCUUUAAAAACAAUGUUUGCAUUACCCUUUAGUAUCUUAUUGUAUUGAAGAGAAGUAAUGUUUAUGGUUGUUUUUCAGCAUGCAUUUGUCAGUCUGUUACAAAAUCCACAAAGCGCAACAGCACAAAGUGUGUAACACUGCAAACAGUAAUUUGUGUGUACAUGCAAUGAGACUCCUGAUACUGUUUUAAGGUUAUGACAUUAUCAUGUUGGGUAAUUUUAAUGUCCUAUUAAUCUUAGAUGUGUUGUGAAUUCUGUUUGUUUUGUUAAAUUUUUUUUUAUUUUUUUUUGUCGUCCCUCCACCCCCUUGCCGGUCUGAUUUAUUGUGGGACAUUCUGUCUGUGUUUCAUAAAUAGAAGUGAAAAAAAACCACGUACAGAAUCCUUAACAUAGUAAAAGUCUGGGACACUUCACAUUUUUUUAUAUCUUUUUUUUCAGAUCAAAUUGCAGAGAAUGCUUUUUUCCACAUAAUGGAAGGCACCAUACCUUUUAAAAUGUAGCAUGACACAAUUGCUGACUUUAAUGUUAACUUAUUUCAAGAGCCCUUUUGUCUCAACUGGUGUGGAUUUUUUAAUAUAUAUAUAUAUUUAUAUAUAUGGUGUCAAGAGAGUACAUGCUAACAUUGUAGAAGUGUUCUGAAAAUACUUCAGCCCAGAUGCCACAAUUUUCUGUUUCUUUGAUAUUGCUGUAAUAUAUGUUCGUUAAUUUGUCAUUUUGUUAAAAUACUGUACCGAAUUCUGAUUUCAAAUUUUUACAUCUCUGUAACUGUGUAUUUAUAAAUGGUCAUCCCAAUGUUUUUAAAAUUAAACAGUUUUAUUUACAGUAGGCACUUUUUUAAAAAAUUUGAGUGAGCGUUUAUUGUAUGUAAAAUUGAAUUUUCCCCGUUUGAGUGAGGAUUCAGAGCAUAUGCAAUCUUUUACAAAAUUAGUAUUGGUUAUCAACAAUAUAAAACACAAAUCAGUUCAUACAGAGUCACAUUUCCAGUUAAACCAUAUUUAAACACACCCAACAAUGAUUUCUCUCUUUUGUUAUCUCAUUGAGAUAUAUCUUUUUCUAUAUUCUAAUUGUGUUCACAACCCUUAUUUGCAAUAAGUUUAUCAGGGCUAUUUACUAAAGUAUGAAUGAUUGAUCAUUGGGUGAAUUUCAAGUUUUAGUCCAAAAGAGAAGGAAAUCCAAUAUUUCUAAAGAAAUCAUUGGGUUUAAGUGUGUUUAUCUGUAUAUUUUAACAUCUUUGUAAAAUGCCUUAAUUGUAAAAUUACAUUUUCCAAGUGUGAAAUUAUGCAUUUAGGAAACCUAAUCAUAAGAUGUCCAAAAUCAAAUGCUAAGAACCAAACCCCCACCCCCCCAAAAAAAAAAAAACUGAGUGUAAAGGGUUGUUAGUCGGGAUGAGUUAAGUACUCAAACAUUAAAGAACCACUAUAGGCACCCAGACCACUUCAACUUAAUGAAGUGGUCUGGGUGGCAGGUCCAUCUAGGAUUAACCCUGCCUGCUGUAAACAUGGUUUCAGAGAGCCUCUAGUGGCUGUCUCAUUGAUUUUCACAGUAAGACGCCAGCGUCCAUAGGAAAGCAAUUGAGAAUGAUUUCCUAUGGACUGACUGCGCAUUCAGCCGAUAACGUCGGAAGGAGGAGGAGAGUCCCCAGCGCCGAGGGAGCCCGGUGCUGGUGAAAGGUAAGAUUUUAACCCCUUCCUCCCCCUAGAGCCCGGCGGGAGGGGGGGGGGGCACCUAUUAACACUAUAGUGCCAUGAAAACAAGUUUGUUUUCCUGGCACUAUAGUGGUCCUUUAAAUAGUGACAAACUACAAAAUCAGGCUAGAUAUUUAGCUCAAGGCGAUUGGCAGGAAUCUGUGCACCUAGUAGCUUGAAGGGCCAGGCUGUUCAUAUAGGCCUCCCAUCAUAAUUUCUGCCAAUAAGAUCUUACUGUAGUGGUUCUGGUGCCUAUACCAUCCCUGAACAUUUUUCAAUGUAAACACUGCUUUUUCCUGUGUCAGUACUUCACAAUGUGCAGCACCUUCGAUCAGCAUCUCCACACGCUGCAGGGAGGCACUGAAUGUUCCCUAUAGAGAUGCACUAAUUCAAUGCAUCUCUAUAAGGAGAUGCUGAAUGGCAUGUACAAUAGUCUCCCAAUGCAAGUAUUGGGUUGGCUGAGAUUAUCAUGGCAAGACAGACACUGUGUGUAAAAAUACCAUUCCCAUACGAUUGGUGAGGCUGUAACUUAAACAGAGAGAGACACACUUUUUUUUUUAUUGAAGUCCACCCAGCCGCCCUGCCUUUGGGGGAGCUGGAGUGGAUAAUUUCCCUGUCACCUGUGAAGCUGCUGUGAUCCUGUAAUCUUCAUGGUCUUUUUCCUUUACAUGCUGUUUAGUGAUGUGGGGUUGGAGUGUCAGAUUACUUACAAAUCCAGGUUUUAAGAAAGUGUAUGGUACUGUACCUAAUGCUAAGGGCAGAAUACGGCAUUUAAAGUAAUUGUCCAGAGCAAUGAAUUAAAGGAGACUCUGCUGUGCUGUUUAAGCAGUUAGGUGGAUUUAUGCUGUUGAGGUCUAUCAGCCAGUCUUUACGAUGACACAUAAUAGUCUCUAUCUUUAAAGGGACACUUCACUUUACUAAAAUAAAUCAGUUUAGUUGAUAUACCUCCAAUGGAAGCAUGCAUUUAAUUACGCAUUCUUAUCGUUAGGGGAUAUAUCUAAAAAUCUUUGCACAUCUCCCCUUCUACCCCAGCCCAGACUUUCCACAGCUGUCCAAUCACAAAUUUCCCACUGCAGCCAUUUUAAGGUAUAGUGCAGUUUCUUAUUGUAAAGUGGUGGUGCUUUGUUUCCCACCCCACUAAACAGUACUGAAACAUUUGGGGAUAUAAAUAAUGUAGCAGCUGUAUUGUUAUACAGUAAUAAACCUAAAGGAACACUAUAGUGUCAGGAAUAAAAACAUUUAUUCCUGACCCUAUAGUGUUAAACUAUUUAGGUCACUAAAUAGUUGUUUUGCCGCAUCACUUUAAUUUUGCCACAGCUGGCUCAGUCUCCCUGGCUGAAAUGAUCAGUCUUGACGAUCUCAGCCAAUCCAAUACUUUUCCAUUAGAAAGCUAUUGCUGUAGCACAACUACACUGAACCAAAUCGGCAUCUAGUCAUAGAGAUGCAUUAACUCAAUGAUUCUCUAUUGGAAAUGUUCAGCACCUCCAUGCAGAGUGUGGAGACACUGAACCCUGAUUGAGGAGGCACCUCUAGUGGCAGUCUGAGUGACUGCAAUUAGAGGGUUUACUAGGCAGCAAUGCAAACACUGUCUUUUCUAUGACAAACCUGCAGAGACAUGCUAUAAACACCAGAACCACUUAAGUUGUAGUGAUUCUGGUGACUAGUGUCCCUGUAAAGUCUAUCCUGCCUAGGACAACUUCACCAACCAAUGAUGCCUCCGGUGCGCACAUUAGCAUUUCCCUAGAAAUGUUAGUUUAGCUCAUUGCAUGCACUACCUUUAGUAGUCCUGGAGUUAAAGUGAAAUAGCACACCCCAUAACGAACGGUUAGUUGGCUCCUGUAUAAAUCUUACUAUUGACAGUUCCACUUUAAUGUAUCUUUGCAGUAGAAUCACAAAUUCGUAUUAUGCAUAGCUACAUACCUCUCCUCCUCCCCACCCCAC